rnacentral:rRNA from 1 species
CCAACUCGAAUCUCCCACUCCCAACCGCCCGGCGGACCUUCCCGAGCCUUCGCCACGCAAUGGCAAUGCAGCCUCCCCCCUCCGGGGACGACGCGCGCGAGGCGGACGCGCUCCUCCCGCGGAGCGACUCCGCCGGCCGCCGCCGCUCGUCGCCCGUGCAGUCCGCGUCCCCGAGGCCCCCGGGCUCGGCCGGCCCCAGGAGGCAGUCGUCCUUCCGCCACGACGUCGGCCAUGCCGCCUGCGAGACCUACCUCGUCACGCGCCUCACCUUCACCCUGCUCCAGUACCUCGGGUUACCGCUGGAUGAGGCAGCUUCUUGCCCUCGCAAUCUAUGCCAUUCUACUUAUGCCAGGUUUUUUGCAAGUUGGAUAUUACUAUUUCUUUUCAAGUCAGGUUCGUAGAAGUAUAGUUUAUGGAGAACAACCGAGAAACAGGUUGGAUUUGUAUAUACCCAAAGAUAAUAGAAGACCCUGUCCCGUGGUGGCCUUUGUAACUGGUGGGGCCUGGAUUAUUGGUUACAAGGCAUGGGGUGCCCUUCUUGGCAGGCGGUUGGCUGAGAGAGGAAUCAUAGUUGCUUGCAUUGAUUAUAGAAAUUUUCCUCAAGGAACAAUAAGUGACAUGGUUAGCGAUGCUUCUCAGGGGAUCUCAUUCGUGUGUAACAACAUUGCUAGUUAUGGAGGUGAUCCUAAUCAGAUCUACUUGAUGGGUCAGUCAGCAGGAGCACAUAUUUCAGCAUGUGCCCUAAUGGAACAGGCAGUAAAAGAGUCUAGCGGACAGCCCAUUUCUUGGAGUGUUACACAAAUCAACGCAUACUUUGGUUUAUCUGGAGGAUACAACAUCCAUAAUUUGGUCGACCAUUUCCAUCAGCGUGGUCUGAACCGUUCAAUAUUUCUCAGUAUAAUGGAGGGAGAAGAAUCAUUGUCACGUUAUUCUCCUGAAAUUGUUGUCAAGGAGUCAAGUGCCCGGACCAUAGCUCUACUUCCUCGUAUCUUUCUUAUGCAUGGAACAGAUGAUUAUUCAAUACCAUCAUCUUCCAGUCGAACUUUUGUAGACGUCCUUCAACAAGCUGGUGCCCAGGCCACAUUAUUAUUGUACGAAGGGAAAACACAUACAGAUAUAUUUAUACAGGAUCCUCUUAGGGGUGGAAGGGAUCCUUUGGUUGAAGAUGUCUUUUCUGUUAUUUAUGCCGAUGAUGCAACUUGCCGAAAUGCAGCUUCUGCGCCAACUCCAAGGCGCCUGGUUUUUGAGUGGCAAUUGCAGUUGGCCCGUUGGAUUAGUCCCUUCUAGAAGACGACACCACAGAGAUGAUGAUUCUUAGGGUCUCGGGUGAUUGGUGUUUGUGUUAUUGUAUUUGCCAAUCAAAGCCAAACAAACACACGUAAAAUGGGAGAAAGCAGUGAAACAUCAAGCAGGAUAA